UGGGAAUUGGUGCUGUUCUAUCUCAAGAUAACUAUCCAAUUGCUUAUUUCUCUAAGAAGCUCUCUCCCCGUAUGCAAAAACAAUCUUCUUAUGUUCGUGAGCUUUAUGCUAUUACAAAGGCAGUAGCUAAGUUUUGUCAUUAUCUAUUUGGGCAUUUUUUUUCAUUAUUUGCACCGAUCAGUGUAGUCACAAACACAUUUCUUCUCAAGUGAUACAAACUCCUGAACAAGAAGCUUUGCUCCUUAAGCUCUUGAGAUUCAAUUACUCAAUUGAAUAUAACCCUGGUCCCACUAAUCAAGCUGUUGAUGCAUUAUCACGUUCCUUCCAUAUGGUUGUUUCAGUUCGCAUAUUAUUUAUCCUUGAUGAUAUCAAACGCGCAGUGCCAUAUUCCCCUAAGUUACAAGCUCUAAUUCACUAAUUUCAGACCGAUCCUGCAACGCUGCCACUUCAUGAUUUAACAGAUAACUUACUGUUUUGGUGCCACCGCUUGUUACUUCCUGCUGAUGCGCGUGAGCUUAGUACUCAAAUACUACAUGAAUUUCAUUCCUCGUCCAUUGAGGGUCAUGCUGGAUUCCUCAGAACACAUUCUCGCAUUGCGACUUAUUUUUCUUGGACAAGAAUGCGACAUGAUAUUCGUUAAUAUAUAAAUAAUUUCCAAGUAUUUCAACGUGCCAAAACCUAUCAAACACAUCCAGCUGGUUAAUUUGUUAAGCCCAUUGUUUAUUUCAAAUCAGGUUUGGGAAUACGUUGCUAUGGACUUUAUCAUCGGGCUUCCAUUAUCUAAGGGUUAUUCUGUUAUUGUUGUCGCUAUUGACCGACUCUCUAAGUUUGCUCAUUUUGUACUUUUGCGGUCCAAUUUGACAGCACCUCAAGCUGCAGAAGUUUUCAUUGACAUUGUGGUCAAGUUACACAGGAUUCCCACUUCCAUUGUGUUGGAUCGCGACAAGGUGUUAACUAGCUCAUUUUGGCAGAAUCUAUUCGAGCUCUAAGGCACUUCCUUAAAGAUGAGUUCCGCAUAUCAUCCCCAAACUGACGGUCAAUCUGAAGCACUUAAUAAAUGUUUAGAGGUGUAUUUGUGUUGCUUUGUUGCUGAGAACCCUCAUUUGGGGGUAUCGUUUCUUCCUUGAGCAUAAUUCUGGUAUAAUAGUUCAUUUUAAACAUCUACUGGUAUGACUCCUUUCAAGAUUGUAUAUGGCUGAGAACCUCCGACCAUCAUUCCUUGCUCUGUCCGUGAUGACACUCCCUUUGAUGUUCAUUCUAAAUUGGUUCAAAGGGACCAAAUCCUUGCUCAACUGAAGCUUGACUUUUCUCGCGCACAAACGCGUAUGAAGUUGAAUGCAGGGACCGCGGGAUGGAUUUUUAGAGUUUAGGGACGAAGUUGAAAGCGAGUAACACAUUUGGGGACCAAAUGCAGGGGAGAUCCAGGUUCUCAGCUCCAGAAGGCGCUUAAAUUCACCCUGUAUCGACCUUGGGUGCUCGUCAGGUUCGGCUCCAUAAUAAUUGGGUUCCACAAGUUCUGAUCCAGUGGGACGGUGCUGGUGAUUGCACUUGGGAACCUCUAUCUUAUAUCCAAGAUCAGUUCCCUCAGCUUGACCUUGAGGACAAGGUCUUUUUUUAUGAGGAGGGUAAUGUUAUGAUUUAGAAGGCAUUAGGUGACACCUCACAAGGACACGUGGCAGCUGAUAUGCACAAAGAAGGAAAUGGGUCUGAUUCUGUUAGGAGGAGUAACAGAGUCCACAAACCUCCAGUACGUUUUAGGGAUAGAGGGAGAGGAAUUGAGGGAUAUCUGAGAAUUGUUCUACUAUCUUGUGCUGUCAUUUUCCCUCUUUUGAAUUCUUAUUGAUCUUCUUAUGUCAUUCUGAAUCUUUUCUUAUUGUACGGAUGUGAACCUCUUCCUAAUUUCAAUAAUUUUGCCGAUGUUGUCUUUUUCUCA